GACGAACGAUGGAGGAGGGAGGAACACAGGCAAGUCGAACGGAAAGGCCCUGCUUUUGUGGGGUGCUCGAGUGGCGAACGGGUGAGUAACACGUGAGUAACCUGCCCUUGACUUUGGGAUAACUUCAGGAAACUGGGGCUAAUACCGGAUAGGAGCUCCUGCUGCAUGGUGGGGGUUGGAAAGUUUCGGCGGUUGGGGAUGGACUCGCGGCUUAUCAGCUUGUUGGUGGGGUAGUGGCUUACCAAGGCUUUGACGGGUAGCCGGCCUGAGAGGGUGACCGGCCACAUUGGGACUGAGAUACGGCCCAGACUCCUACGGGAGGCAGCAGUGGGGAAUAUUGCACAAUGGGCGGAAGCCUGAUGCAGCAACGCCGCGUGCGGGAUGACGGCCUUCGGGUUGUAAACCGCUUUCGCCUGUGACGAAGCGUGAGUGACGGUAAUGGGUAAAGAAGCACCGGCUAACUACGUG
rnacentral:rRNA from 1 species